rnacentral:rRNA from 1 species
UACGUAGGUGGCAAGCGUUGUCCGGAAUUAUUGGGCGUAAAGAGCUCGUAGGCGGUCUGUCGCGUCGGUCGUGAAAACUUGGGGCUUAACCCUGAGCUUGCGGUCGAUACGGGCAUGACUGGAGUUCGGCAGGGGAGACUGGAAUUCCUGGUGUAGCGGUGAAAUGCGCAGAUAUCAGGAGGAACACCGGUGGCGAAGGCGGGUCUCUGGGCAGUAACUGACGCUGAGAAGCGAAAGCGUGGGGGAGCGAACAGG